ensembl:misc_RNA Y_RNA Y RNA
GGCUGAUCCUGUCAUAGUGGAUUGUCAGUACUAAUAACAUUAAUGCCAUGAAAGUUGUAAGCAGCCCCCCAGUACUAAAUUAGACUGGCUAAAA